GCUUCUUCACUAUUGUUUUUCCUCUCUCUCCUCACUAAGUUCCAUUAUUCUAAAUUGGGAUUGGUGUGACCUUUAAAAAAAAAAAAAAAAAGAAAGAAAGAAAUUCUUGAAAUUUUGCUAUAAGUAUAGUAGCCAUUGAGCCCUUCAUAUCUCCCAUAACCAUAUGCAUUCAUUUUUUUUCCCAUCACUUUCCCUCUCAAUUUUCUCUUCUGCCAAACAGGUUUAUUUUAUUUUUGAUCCUCUUUGUAUUCUUCCACGGCUUUCUUGAACUGCAUUUCAUGAUCUUCUUCUUCUUGAAAAAAUAAAAAAAAAAAGAAAAAAAAGUAAUUUUUUAAUUUUUUAAAAUUUUUAGUUUUCUUCUUUGCUAUGAAUUUCAAUGGCUGCAGUUCAAUAAAGCUGUGGGAAGAUACAAUAAAAGGAUCAACCACAAAAAAAAAAAAAAAAAAAAAAAAUGUAAUUCUUCUUCUUCGACCUAUGAACUACAUCAUCAAUCCCUUUUAGGGUUCCCUUUACAAAUUGCAGGCUACAAGCAAACAAACAGAAGAUAGGAACAAGAAAGAAGAAAAAUUUUCCAUUCAUGAAUUGGAAAAAAAGUAUAUGGCUUUUAAUUAUUAUUUUAUAAGAACUAUAGCUAAAUAUAUUAAUUAUCCGUGUAUUUGUACUACAUAUCUCUCUGUAUAUAAAUGUAGCUCUCUAUAAAGGUAGCAACAAGUCACACUCCAAUUUAAUUUACUGUC